rnacentral:tRNA from 1 species
AUUUACUUAAUAUAUCUAGUAUAUUUGACUUCCAAUCAAAAAGAUUGAACUAUCAAAGUAAGUA